rnacentral:rRNA from 1 species
GACGAACGCUGGCGGCGUGCCUAAUACAUGCAAGUCGAGCGCACUGGCCCAACUGAUAUGACGUGCUUGCACUGAAUUGACGUUGGAUUACCAGUGAGCGGCGGACGGGUGAGUAACACGUGGGCAACCUGCCCUGAAGCGGGGGAUAACAUCUGGAAACAGGUGCUAAUACCGCAUAACAACGAAAACCACAUGGUUUUCGUUUCAAAGAUGGUUUCGGCUAUCACUUCAGGAUGGGCCCGCGGUGCAUUAGCUAGUUGGUAAGGUAACGGCUUACCAAGGCAAUGAUGCAUAGCCGAGUUGAGAGACUGAUCGGCCACAUUGGGACUGAGACACGGCCCAAACUCCUACGGGAGGCAGCAGUAGGGAAUCUUCCACAAUGGACGCAAGUCUGAUGGAGCAACGCCGCGUGAGUGAAGAAGGGUUUCGGCUCGUAAAGCUCUGUUGGUAGUGAAGAAAGAUAGAGGUAGUAACUGGCCUUUAUUUGACGGUAAUUACUUAGAAAGUCACGGCUAACUACGUGCCAGCAGCCGCGGUAAUACGUAGGUGGCAAGCGUUGUCCGGAUUUAUUGGGCGUAAAGCGAGUGCAGGCGGUUCAAUAAGUCUGAUGUGAAAGCCUUCGGCUCAACCGGAGAAUUGCAUCAGAAACUGUUGAACUUGAGUGCAGAAGAGGAGAGUGGAACUCCAUGUGUAGCGGUGGAAUGCGUAGAUAUAUGGAAGAACACCAGUGGCGAAGGCGGCUCUCUGGUCUGCAACUGACGCUGAGGCUCGAAAGCAUGGGUAGCGAACAGG